GCGGCGUGGAGUGUUGCGGGUCCAUCUGCCGCGGAUCUCCUCUCCCCAUUACUGGGAGGUCCGCCAUCCAUGGAAGGUGCGCCAUCUACUCCUCUGCCCGCCAUCCAUGGAAUUCUUGUACCGCGCCGUGGAUCCGCGCAAUGGAAGGUCGUCUGUACCGCCCGCUGCCCACCCCUACUAGAAAUUCCAUCCCGCCGCCCCACCCCACCAGCAGAGACAAUGCGCGAUGCACCUCCCCUCCAAAGCCAUCCACCUCCCCUCCCCCCUUGCACCGCACCGCACACACACACCUGCACCAAUGCCAUUUCCGUGCCUGGAUAGAUCGUAGGUCUACGAGGUAGCAUCGAAUGGCUCUCCAGUAGGAAGGGUAGAGCCUCCAUGUGGCGGCCUCCAGAUCGUAACUCUGAUUCUUCUUCCCACCCCGCGGUGAGACCCGCCCCAACCCCUUUCUUCUCCCUCUCUAUCCAUCCUCGACCCCUCUCUCGUAAUAAGGAAGGACAGAGCUCAACCAAGGCUCUCCCCUCAGCAGGCGCAUCGAUAGACCGAAUUUUGGCGAAGAGAACGCUUGGAGCACCUCUAUCCCCUCCACGAUGGAGGCCAGGUACAGGACAACCGUGCUAGGGAACAACACUGAUUUGAUGCCGUUUUGGAGGAUCUACGCCCUCGUGGCAUGCUUGGUGGCCGGACUUGCCCUCACCUCUAUCCCCUCUUGGCCUCCGUGAUGGAGGCUGGGUACUCAGCGGCCAUGACAUGCUUGGUGGCCAGAUCCUGUAAUGUUUAUAAUGUUCCAUUUUGUUGAUCCAAGCCACCAAUGGAGUAAAAGCUGGAGUAUUUUUUCCCAAUUGGUUAUACAUGUCAGUUUUCUUGUUUCUGUGCUGAGAUACUGGUGAACCUGUAGGUGCCUGAGUCAUUUUGGGGCAUUCUAAUCGUAGAGCUCUGUUGGGGUGAAUCCAGUGAUGUGAGUACCUUUUAAACUAUCAUGGUAUGAUUUAUAUUCUCUAUUGACAACUCACAUUUUUGUGCUAUUUUGCUUGAUGCUUGGAAGAAUCUGUUGUUUGGUUUA